rnacentral:rRNA from 1 species
AGGUUAAGCUAGUAAGAGCACACGGAGGAUGCCUAGGCGCUAGGAGCCGAAGAAGGACGUGGCGAACAACGAUAUGCCCCGGGGAGUCGUAAGCAGACUUUGAUCCGGGGAUGUCCGAAUGGGGGAACCCGGCUGCGGUUAUGCGCAGUCACUCACUUCUGAAUCCAUAGGAAGUGAAGAGGCAGACCAGGGGAACUGAAACAUCUAAGUACCCUGAGGAGAAGAAAACAAUCGUGAUUCCGUCAGUAGCGGCGAGCGAAAGCGGAGGAGCCCAAACCAGAGAGCUUGCUCACUGGGGUUGUGGGACACCUUAUACGGAGUUACAAAGGAGCAGAUUAGGCGAAGAGGUCUGGAAAGGCCUGCCACAGAAGGUAACAGCCCUGUAGCUGAAAGUCUGCUCUCUCCAAGGUGGAUCCCGAGUACGGCGGGACACGGGAAACCCCGUCGGAAUCCGGCAGGACCAUCUGCCAAGGCUAAAUACUCCCUAGCGACCGAUAGUGAAGCAGUACCGUGAGGGAAAGGUGAAAAGCACCCCGGGAGGGGAGUGAAAGAGAACCUGAAACCGUGUGCUUACAAGAAGUCAGAGCCCUAUGAUUUUCUUCGGGAAAUCAGGGUGAUGGCGUGCCUUUUGUAGAAUGAACCGGCGAGUUACGCUUGCAUGCAAGGUUAAGGUGAAGAGCCGGAGCCGCAGCGAAAGCGAGUCUGAACAGGGCAAAUGAGUAUGUAGGCGUAGACCCGAAACCGUGUGAUCUACCCCUGUCCAGGGUGAAGGUGAGGUAACACUCACUGGAGGCCCGAACCCACGAAUGUUGAAAAAUUCGGGGAUGAGGUGGGGGUAGCGGAGAAAUUCCAAUCGAACUCGGAGAUAGCUGGUUCUCCCCGAAAUAGCUUUAGGGCUAGCCUCGGGUUAGAGUGAUGGAGGUAAAGCACUGAUUGGGUGCGGGGCCCGCCAAGGGUUACCAAGUCUAGUCAAACUCUGAAUGCCAUCCACUCGGUGCCCGGGAGUCAGACAGUGAGUGCUAAGAUCCAUUGUCAAGAGGGAAACAGCCCAGAUCAUCAGCUAAGGUCCCCAAGUGUGUGUUAAGUGGGAAAGGAUGUGGAGUUGCACAGACAACCAGGAUGUUGGCUUAGAAGCAGCCACCAUUUAAAGAGUGCGUAAUAGCUCACUGGUCGAGUGACUCUGCGCCGAAAAUGUAACGGGGCUAAAUACACCACCGAAGCUAUGGGUCCUAAUUAAGGGCAGUAGGGGAGCGUUCCAAGCAGCAGAGAAGGUUGACCGUGAGGACAGCUGGAGCGCUUGGAAGUGAGAAUGCCGGUAUGAGUAACGAAAAGAUCAGUGAGAAUCUGAUCCGCCGAAAGCCUAAGGGUUCCUGAGGAAGGUUCGUCCGCUCAGGGUAAGUCGGGACCUAAGGCGAGGCCGAAAGGCGUAGUCGAAGGACAACAGGCAGAAAUUCCUGUACCACCAAACACCGCUAUGAGCGAUGGGGUGACACAGUAGGGUAGGGACGCAAGCUGAUGGAAGUGCUUGUCCAAGCAGUGAGGCUGGUGUGCAGGCAAAUCCGCACACGAUGAAAGCCGGGCUGUGACGGGGAGUGAAAAUAGCAGUAGCGAAGGUCUUGAUCUCACACUGUCAAGAAAAGCCUCUAGCCAGGUGCAGGUGCCCGUACCGCAAACCGACACAGGUAGGCGAGAAGAGAAUUCUAAGGCGCGCGGAAGAACUCUCGUUAAGGAACUCGGCAAAAUGACCCCGUAACUUAGGGAGAAGGGGUGCCCCGGUAGAGUGAAUAGCUCGAGGGGGCCGCAGUGAAUAGGCCCAAGCGACUGUUUAGCAAAAACACAGGUCUAUGCGAAGCCGCAAGGCGAAGUAUAUGGGCUGACGCCUGCCCGGUGCUGGAAGGUUAAGGGGAGUGGUUAGGGCUUAAGGCCCGAAGCUAUGAACCGAAGCCCCAGUAAACGGCGGCCGUAACUAUAACGGUCCUAAGGUAGCGAAAUUCCUUGUCAGGUAAAUUCUGACCCGCACGAAUGGCGUAACGACUUGGGCGCUGUCUCAACGAGAGAUCCGGUGAAAUUUUAAUACCUGUGAAGAUGCAGGUUACCCGCGACAAGACGGAAAGACCCCAUGGAGCUUUACUGCAGCUUGAUAUUGGACUUUGGUACGAUCUGUACAGGAUAGGUGGGAGCCUAAGAAGCCGGAGCGCCAGCUUCGGUGGAGGCAGCGUUGGGAUACCACCCUGAUCGUAUCGGAGUUCUAACCCGGGACCGUGAACCGGUUCGGGGACAGUGUCAGGUGGGCAGUUUGACUGGGGCGGUCGCCUCCUAAAGAGUAACGGAGGCGCCCCAAGGUUCCCUCAGAAUGGUUGGAAAUCAUUCGAAGAGUGCAAAGGCAGAAGGGAGCUUGACUGCGAGACCUACAAGUCGAGCAGGGACGAAAGUCGGGCUUAGUGAUCCGGUGGUACCGCAUGGAAGGGCCAUCGCUCAACGGAUAAAAGCUACCCUGGGGAUAACAGGCUUAUCUCCCCCAAGAGUCCACAUCGACGGGGAGGUUUGGCACCUCGAUGUCGGCUCAUCGCAUCCUGGGGCUGAAGUAGGUCCCAAGGGUUGGGCUGUUCGCCCAUUAAAGCGGUACGCGAGCUGGGUUCAGAACGUCGUGAGACAGUUCGGUCCCUAUCUGUCGUGGGCGCAGGAAAUUUGAGAGGAGCUGUCCUUAGUACGAGAGGACCGGGAUGGACGUACCGCUGGUGUACCAGUUGUUCCGCCAGGAGCACAGCUGGGUAGCUAUGUACGGAAGGGAUAAGCGCUGAAAGCAUCUAAGCGUGAAGCCCGCCUCAAGAUGAGAUUUCCCAAGUAGUAAGACCCCUUGAAGACGACGAGGUAGAUAGGUUGGGGGUGGAAGCGCAGCAAUGCGUGGAGCUGACCAAUACUAAUCGGUCGAGGGCUUAUCCUAAA